CCCACGCCCACACUCCGCGGUGAUGGGGCAAAUCCAGGGCGAGCAGCUUUGGUUUGCCCAACAAAGGUAUUGAACUAGCUUCUGGUCCUCGUGGCUCCCAUGUGGCCCCAGUCCUGCCCUCUGAAGUAGCAGAGCCCACAUACCAGAUGUUACAGAACCUCCCUACCUUUGCUGCCCAUCUCUGCAAACAGAUGACUAGAAUGAGACUCCAGGAGACUUCCUUGAUCAGGCUGGAAGACGACCCCACUCUGGCUCUCUCAUGUCAGUGGCCACCUCUCA